AAUCAACGCUGGCGGCGUGCCUAACGCAUGCAAGUCGAACGAGAAAGUGGAGCAAUCCAUGAGUAAAGUGGCGCACGGGUGAGUAACACGUGACUAACCUACCUUUUAGUGGGGGAUAACCUAGGGAAACCUGGGCUAAUACCGCAUAACACUUACGAGUCAAAGCAGCAAUGCGCUGAAAGAGGGGGUCGCGGCCGAUUAGCUAGUUGGCGGGGUAAUGGCCCACCAAGGCGAUGAUCGGUAUCCGGCCUGAGAGGGCGCACGGACACACUGAAACUGAAACACGGUCCAGACUCCUACGGGAGGCAGCAAUGGGGAAUUUUGCGCAAUGGGGGAAACCCUGACGCAGCAACGCCGCGUGGAGGAUGAAGUCCCUUGGGACGUAAACUCCUUUCGACCGGGAAGAUAAUGACGGGUACCGGAAGAAGAAGCCCCGGGCUAACUUCGUGCCAGCAGCAGCCGC
rnacentral:rRNA from 1 species